AGAGUUUGAUCAUGGCUCAGAACGAACGCUGGCGGCAUGCCUCAUACAUGCAAGUCGAACGAAGUCCUCGGACUUAGUGGCGCACGGGUGAGUAACAUGUGGGAAUCUACCUGAAGGUUCGGAAUAACUGCGGGAAACUGUAGCUAAUACCGGAUGUGUCUGCAAAGAGAAAGAUUUAUCGCCUUCAGAUGAGCCCGCACUAGAUUAGCUAGUUGGUGAGGUAACUGCUCCACCAAGGCUACGAUCUAUAGCUGAUUUGAGAGGAUGAUCAGCCACACUGGGACUGAGACACGGCCCAGACUCCUACGGGAGGCAGCAGUAGGGAAUAUUGGACAAUGGGGGAAACCCUGAUCCAGCAAUGCCGCGUGAGUGAAGAAGGCCCUCGGGUUGUAAAACUCUUUCAUCAAUGAUGAUAAUGACAUUAAUUGAAGAAGAAGCUCCGGCUAACUUCGUGCCAGCAGCCGCGGUAAUACGAAGGGGGCUAGCGUUGUUCGGAAUCACUGGGCGUAAAGCGUAUGUAGGCUGAUCAAAAAGUUAGAUGUGAAAUCCCUGGGCUCAACCCAGGAACUGCAUUUAAAACUAGUGAUCUAGAAAUUGGUAAAGGUUAGUAGAAUUUCCAGUGUAGAGGUGAAAUUCGUAGAUAUUGGAAAGAAUACCAGAAGCGAAGGCGACUAACUAGGCCAUUUUUGACGCUGAGAUACGAAAGCGUGGGUAGCAAACAGGAUUAGAUACCCUGGUAGUCCACGCAGUAAACGAUGAGUGCUAGUCGCUGGGACAAUAGUUUCAGUGUCGAAGCUAACGCAUUAAGCACUCCGCCUGGGAAGUACGGUCGCAAGAUUAAAACUCAAAUAAAUUGACGGGGGCCC
rnacentral:rRNA from 1 species